rnacentral:tRNA from 1 species
GUGGCCAAAGCCUUUAUCUGGAUGAGGUUCGACCUGUGACGUCGAGGAAGAGGGUUCGAUUCCCUCUGGUCACC